GGAAGGAUCAUUUACAAUAAGUGAACUACUAACUAAUGAAAGCAUUAUUUGAACAUAAAGAAAGAACUAUAACUAACAUAGGUUGAUAAAAACUAAAUUUUCAACGAUGGAUGUCUAGGCUCCCAUAACGAUGAAGAACGCAGCAAGAAUGCGAUAUGCAGUGUGAAUUGCAGAACUAUGAAUCAUCGGAUUUUUGAACGCAACUGGCGCCGGCAAAACCGGCAUACUUGUUUCAGUGUGCGCAACAAACUAACCGAACUUAAAUGCAAGGGAAGUUCCCUUGUUAAGUACAUGCUCUUAGCAGCAGUCACUUUAUAGUGAGUUGUUAUUAGUAUAAAAAGACUUAAUUGCACCUGAAAUCAAGUAAGAUGACCCGCUGGACUUAAGCAUAUUACUAAGCGGAGGAAAAGAAAUUAACAAAGAUUGCCUUAGUAAGGGCGACUGAACCGGCAAAAGCUCGAAAUUGGAAUCAUAGAUUCAAUGAAUCUUUGAAUUGUAAUCAGGCAAACCUAAAUACUAUAAGUUGUUUAACAGUAUCGAAAGACUGGCCAUAGAGGGUGCUAGCCCCGUAAAACAAUAGAUAGAGUAAGGUUUGAUCCA
rnacentral:misc_RNA from 1 species